AGAGUUUGAUCCUGGCUCAGAAUCAACGCUGGCGGCGUGCCUAACACAUGCAAGUCGCACGAGAAAGCGGACUUCGGUCUGUGAGUACAGUGGCGCACGGGUGAGUAACACGUGAAUGAUCUACCUCCGAGUGGGGAAUAACCUAGGGAAACCUGGGCUAAUACCGCAUAACACUUACGAGUCAAAGCAGCAAUGCGCUU
rnacentral:rRNA from 1 species